rnacentral:rRNA from 1 species
AUGACGAGGCACUACGGUGCUGAAGCAACAAAUGCCCUGCUUCCAGGAAAAGCCUCUAAGCAUCAGGUAACAUCAAAUCGUACCCCAAACCGACACAGGUGGUCAGGUAGAGAAUACCAAGGCGCUUGAGAGAACUCGGGUGAAGGAACUAGGCAAAAUGGUGCCGUAACUUCGGGAGAAGGCACGCUGAUAUGUAGGUGAAGCGACUUGCUCGUGGAGCUGAAAUCAGUCGAAGAUACCAGCUGGCUGCAACUGUUUAUUAAAAACACAGCACUGUGCAAACACGAAAGUGGACGUAUACGGUGUGACGCCUGCCCGGUGCCGGAAGGUUAAUUGAUGGGGUUAGCGCAAGCGAAGCUCUUGAUCGAAGCCCCGGUAAACGGCGGCCGUAACUAUAACGGUCCUAAGGUAGCGAAAUUCCUUGUCGGGUAAGUUCCGACCUGCACGAAUGGCGUAAUGAUGGCCAGGCUGUCUCCACCCGAGACUCAGUGAAAUUGAACUCGCUGUGAAGAUGCAGUGUACCCGCGGCAAGACGGAAAGACCCCGUGAACCUUUACUAUAGCUUGACACUGAACAUUGAGCCUUGAUGUGUAGGAUAGGUGGGAGGCUUUGAAGUGUGGACGCCAGUCUGCAUGGAGCCGACCUUGAAAUACCACCCUUUAAUGUUUGAUGUUCUAACGUUGACCCGUAAUCCGGGUUGCGGACAGUGUCUGGUGGGUAGUUUGACUGGGGCGGUCUCCUCCUAAAGAGUAACGGAGGAGCACGAAGGUUGGCUAAUCCUGGUCGGACAUCAGGAGGUUAGUGCAAUGGCAUAAGCCAGCUUGACUGCGAGCGUGACGGCGCGAGCAGGUGCGAAAGCAGGUCAUAGUGAUCCGGUGGUUCUGAAUGGAAGGGCCAUCGCUCAACGGAUAAAAGGUACUCCGGGGAUAACAGGCUGAUACCGCCCAAGAGUUCAUAUCGACGGCGGUGUUUGGCACCUCGAUGUCGGCUCAUCACAUCCUGGGGCUGAAGUAGGUCCCAAGGGUAUGGCUGUUCGCCAUUUAAAGUGGUACGCGAGCUGGGUUUAGAACGUCGUGAGACAGUUCGGUCCCUAUCUGCCGUGGGCGCUGGAGAACUGAGGGGGGCUGCUCCUAGUACGAGAGGACCGGAGUGGACGCAUCACUGGUGUUCGGGUUGUCAUGCCAAUGGCACUGCCCGGUAGCUAAAUGCGGAAGAGAUAAGUGCUGAAAGCAUCUAAGCACGAAACUUGCC